GAUGAAGAACGUAGCGAAAUGCGAUAAGUAAUGUGAAUUGCAGAAUUCAGUGAAUCAUCGAAUAUUUGAACGCACAUUGCGCCCGCCAGUAUUCUGGCGGGCAUGCCUGUUCGAGCGUCAUUUCAACCAUCAAGCCCCCGGCUUGUGUUGGGGACCUGCGGCUGCCGCAGGCCCUGAAAACCAGUGGCGGGCUCGCUAGUCACUCCGAGCGUAGUAAUACAUCUCGCUCAGGGCGUGCUGCGGGUUCCGGCCGUUAAAAGCCUUAUUUUACCCAAGGUUGACCUCGGAUCAGGUAGGAAGACCCGCUGAACUUAAGCAUAUCAAUAAGCGGAGGA
rnacentral:misc_RNA from 1 species